GAUUAGAGAUGAGCUGGGUUUUCCUUAUGGGCAUAAAAUAAACACAGGAUGAUGUAGGACUUCUGGAGAAGAGACUGUAAGAUAUCAAUGACUGUAAUGUCAUUCUUGUAUCAGGAAGUGAGAAGACUCCUGUCUUGCUGUUCCCUGAAUCCAGGGAAGGUAAGGCAUGAGCUAGGAAGCAGAUGGGAAGAAGCUGGAAGAUGUGAAGAGCUGUUUCACAACAGCAAGGCAGACAUGCUUUAUUCUCUAAUGGUUGACACUGCCAAAUCUCAGAUAAAAAAGGUGGAGAAUGACAUAACUACACCGGAUGAACCUCAAGGGAAAAGAUACAGAAAUUAUAUAAAGAAGGAAUUGAUUAACUCAGGAGCCAUGAGCAGACAAUGACCUUUCUGGAAAUCAAGUCUUAUGGAAUUAAAUUAAAUCCAUAUCCUGGACACCAGAGCAGAUCUUACUUAAGAUGUGCCCAAGUUUGCCAUUUGUAUAGUCUGGAUGACCUUGUUACCAUGAUUUUUCAAGGAAAAUGCCUCACACAAAUGCAUCACAGUUUCUUGAAAGCCCUUGAUUUUCCUUGAAUCUUGACUUCCAGCAGUCAACACAGAAAGAUCCAAGAGAAAAAGGAGUGGUGAAGAGGAAACUCUUUUACACUGAAUGGUUUUAAGAGUGGAGUUUUGGAGGCAAGGACAGAAAGCGAUCACAGAAUGGAAAACAAAGAGAACAAAUAUAAAAGCAUGGAAGAGAUGUCUAAACAAUAAAACUCAGAGCAGCAAAGGAUCCUGCCAUGCUUAGCUGAAGUCGUGAUACCUGAUCACAAUUUCUUUGCACUCUAACCACCCUUCUGAAACGAUUAUUCCUUGAAUAGAAGGAGCAGUGUCUUUUAGUAACAAAAUGGUGGUUUGUCACAUGCUCUUUAUAAUUUUCAUCAAAAUGUAAUCUAUAUUUUAAAUUUCUCCUCCUUGCCAGUCUUGUUUUAUAUUUUAUCUCCUACAAAUAUUUGCAGCCAAGAAAAUCUGGGACUCUAGAAGCAGUUUUCUAUUUAUACUUUCUGAAUAGAGUAGCACAUUGUCUUUAGGUGAAUG
ensembl:lncRNA